UGUGGAGGUGUGUGGUGGGGUGUGGAGGUGGUGUGGAGGUGGUGUAGUGGUGUGUGGAGGUGUGUAGUGGGGUGUGGAGGUGUGUGGUGGGGUGUGGAGGUGGUGUAGGGGUGUGUAAUGGUGUGUGGAGGUGUGUGGAGGUGGUGUAGUGGUGUGUGGAGGUGGUGUAGUGGGGUGUGGAGGUGGUGUAGUGGUGUGUGGUGGGGUGUGGAGGUGGUGUAGUGGUGUGUGGAGGUGUGUAGUGGUGUGUGGAGGUGGUGUAGUGGGGUGUGGAGGCGUGUGGAGGUGUUGUAGUGGGGUGUGGAGGCGUGUGGAGGUGGUGUAGUGGUGUGUGAAGGCGUGUGGAGGCGUGUGGAGGUGGUGUAGUGGUGUGUGGAGGCGUGUGGAGGUGGUGUAGUGGUGUGUGGAGGCGUGUGGAGGUGGUGUGUGGAGGUGGUGUAGUGGGGUGUGGAGGUGGUGUAGUGGUGUGUGGAGGUGUGUGAUGGGGUGUGGAGGUGGUGUGGUGUGGUGGUGGUGUGUGGAGGUGGUGUGGUGUGGUGGUGGUGUGUGGAGGUGUGUGGAGGUGGUGGUGUGUGGUGGAGGUGGUGUGUGGAGGUGUGUGAUGGGGUGUGGUGGUGUGUGGAGGUGGUGUGUGGAGGUGGUGUAGUGUGGAGGUGGUGUAGUGUGGAGGUGGUGUAGUGGGGUGUGGUGGUGUGUGGAGGUGGUGUAGUGGGGUGUGGUGGUGUAGUGGGGUGUGGGUGUGGAGGGAUAAGAUGAGAUGAGUUCUGUUCUGAUGAGAUGAGAUCUGUUCAGAUGAGAUGAAAUGAGUGGGGAGCGGACAGAUGCAUCUCCUGCAGGGACAUCUCUCUGGAAAAAAUAAAUCAAUUGGCAAAUGUUACACAAACAACUCAG
ensembl:lncRNA